ACGGGUGAGGAAUACGUGGGAAUCUACCCUCAAGCGGGGGACAACCAAGGGAAACUUUGGCUAAUACCGCAUAAUCUCGAGAGAGAAAAGCUGCCCGCAAGGGUGGCACUUGAGGAGGAGCCUGCGUCCGAUUAGCUAGUUGGUGGGGUAAGAGCUCACCAAGGCGAUGAUCGGUAACUGGUCUGAGAGGACGACCAGUCACACUGGGACUGAGACACGGCCCAGACUCCUACGGGAGGCAGCAGUGGGGAAUAUUGGACAAUGGGGGCAACCCUGAUCCAGCGAUGCCGCGUGAGUGAAGAAGGCCUUCGGGUCGUAAAGCUCUUUAGGUUGGGAAGAAGUGUAUGGGCUGAAUAAUCCUGUACAUUGACGGUACCGACAGAAUAAGCACCGGCAAACUCUGUGCCAGCAGCCGCGGUAAUACAGAGGGUGCAAGCGUUAAUCGGAUUUACUGGGCGUAAAGGGCGCGUAGGCGGUGAGAUGUGUGUGAUGUGAAAGCCCCGAGCUUAACUUGGGAAGUGCAUCGCAAACUAUCUGACUGGAGUAUAUGAGAGGGUGGCGGAAUUUCCGGU
rnacentral:rRNA from 1 species